GAAAGAUGGCUUUGGCUAUCACUCUGGGAUGGACCUGCGGUGCAUUAGCUAGUUGGUAAGGUAACGGCUUACCAAGGCGAUGAUGCAUAGCCGAGUUGAGAGACUGAUCGGCCACAAUGGAACUGAGACACGGUCCAUACUCCUACGGGAGGCAGCAGUAGGGAAUCUUCCACAAUGGGCGCAAGCCUGAUGGAGCAACACCGCGUGAGUGAAGAAGGGUUUCGGCUCGUAAAGCUCUGUUGUUGGAGAAGAACGUGCGUGAGAGUAACUGUUCACGCAGUGACGGUAUCCAACCAGAAAGUCACGGCUAACUACGUGCCAGCAGCCGCGGUAAUACGUAGGUGGCAAGCGUUAUCCGGAUUUAUUGGGCGUAAAGCGAGCGCAGGCGGUUGCUUAGGUCUGAUGUGAAAGCCUUCGGCUUAACCGAAGAAGUGCAUCGGAAGCCGGGCGACUUGAGUGCAGAAGAGGACAGUGGAACUCCAUGUGUAGCGGUGGAAUGCGUAGAUAUAUGGAAGAACAUCAGUGGCGAAGGCGGCUGUCUGGUCUGCAACUGACGCUGAGGCUCGAAAGCAUGGGUAGCGAACAGGAUUAGAUACCCUGGUAGUCCAUGCCGUAAACGAUGAGUGCUAGGUGUUGGAGGGUUUCCGCCCUUCA
rnacentral:rRNA from 1 species